rnacentral:rRNA from 1 species
CACGUAGGGUGCGAGCGUUUGUCCGGAAUUAUUGGGCGUAAAGAGCUCGUAGGCGGUGUGUCGCGUCGGCCGUGAAAACCUGCAGCUUAACUGUGGGCUUGCGGUCGAUACGGGCAUCACUGGAGUUCGGCAGGGGAGACUGGAAUUCCUGGUGUAGCGGUGAAAUGCGCAGAUAUCAGGAAGAACACCUAUGGCGAAGGCAGCUCUCUGGGACGGUACUGACGCUGAGACGCGAAAGCGUGGGGAGCGAACAGG